UACUCCUACGGGAGGCAGCAGUGGGGAAUUUUGGACAAUGGGCGAAAGCCUGAUCCAGCAAUGCCGCGUGUGUGGAGAAGGCCUUCGGGUUGUAAAGCACUUUUGUCCGGAAAGAAAUCCUUGACUCUAAUACAGUCGGGGGAUGACGGUACCGGAAGAAUAAGCACCGGCUAACUACGUGCCAGCAGCCGCGGUAAUACGUAGGGUGCAAGCGUUAAUCGGAAUUACUGGGCGUAAAGCGUGCGCAGGCGGUUUGCUAAGACCGAUGUGAAAUCCCCGGGCUCAACCUGGGAACUGCAUUGGUGACUGGCAGGCUAGAGUAUGGCAGAGGGGGGGGUAGAAUUCCACGUGUAGCAGUGAAAUGCGUAGAGAUGUGGAGGAAUACCGAUGGCGAAGGCAGCCCCCUGGGCCAAUACUGACGCUCAUGCACGAAAGCGUGGGGAGCAAACAGGAUUAGAUACCCUGGUAGUCCACGCCCUAAACGAUGUCAACUAGUUGUUGGGGAUUCAUUUCCUUAGUAACGUAGCUAACGCGUGAAGUUGACCGCCUGGGGAGUACGGUCGCAAGAUUAAAACUCAAAGGAAUUGACGGA
rnacentral:rRNA from 1 species